rnacentral:rRNA from 1 species
GACGAACGCUGGCGGCCUGCCUAAUACAUGCAAGUUGAGCGCUGAAGGUUGGUACUUGUACCAACUGGAUGAGCAGCGAACGGGUGAGUAACGCGUGGGGAAUCUGCCUUUGAGCGGGGGACAACAUUUGGAAACGAAUGCUAAUACCGCAUAAAAACUUUAAACACAAGUUUUAAGUUUGAAAGAUGCAAUUGCAUCACUCAAAGAUGAUCCCGCGUUGUAUUAGCUAGUUGGUGAGGUAAAGGCUCACCAAGGCGAUGAUACAUAGCCGACCUGAGAGGGUGAUCGGCCACAUUGGGACUGAGACACGGCCCAAACUCCUACGGGAGGCAGCAGUAGGGAAUCUUCGGCAAUGGACGAAAGUCUGACCGAGCAACGCCGCGUGAGUGAAGAAGGUUUUCGGAUCGUAAAACUCUGUUGGUAGAGAAGAACGUUGGUGAGAGUGGAAAGCUCAUCAAGUGACGGUAACUACCCAGAAAGGGACGGCUAACUACGUG